CGAACCGACACUGUCAUUCAUAGUUAAUUAAAGAAAAGAAGCAGCAUUGCGGACCGGCCAUGAUGCUGAAAAUUUAUUAAUUGAUUCCAUGGGAGACGAAAUCCAAGUGGAUUGAUACACCUAACUGGUGCCACCAAAAGAGGGGAACUUCCAUGGAUGGAGAGUGUGUGAGGUACCAACAACAAAUCUCCCGCCAGCCAUUUAUGACCAACAAGCAUCAGACCUUAGACGACUGUAAGUUCACCUAAAGUAAGGCUAACUCCAAAGCAUUUGGACAGUCCAUUCACCAACAAAUGCCAUCAUCCUCUGUUACUCAUCAAAAAAGGAAUAGCCUACCCAGACAGCCAAAACGGUUUGUGGGUGCUUCGGAUGAAAUCUAAACUAAUGGAAAGGAAUAUCUCACGCAGACCAUGACCGAAGCGAUGACUGGUGGACACUAGCCGGAGUCUGGGACAGGUGACUAGGAUCACAAACAACCCCCUCGGUCGGACCUAGGCCUUUACCACGCCCGAAAGGACGGCCUCUUCUAGGUACUAAUUUGGAACAAGGAUCCCUAUGGAGACUUCCUACCUGCCUAGAAAGAGCUCUAUCUAUUGGGGAAGGGUAAAUACCAUGUAGUACGGUUGACGGUAUAAUCAAAGAUGAGUACCCUAGAAAAAAAAUGCCUGCCUUUUCAAAAAAAAACUAAUUUCCUUUUUUUUCUUUUAUUUUUAGGUAAUAUGUACGUCCGUCCGUCCGAAGGUUUAGUUUUAAGUAUUAUGUUAAGGGUCUUUGUAAGCCGUCGCCUGGAGCACUGCGGUCUGCGAGUGCUUUUGAAGGAAGUCCCACGCUGGUGCAGAGAUGAGCCGUUGGUGAGCAGCGUUUUUUUGUUUUACUUUUAAUUAGUUUAAGCUUUAGCGUAAUGAUUAAGUUGUUUUCUUUUUGAUUAAGUUUAUAAUUAAGUUUCUCUUUUUUAGUUGGAAAUUUAUUUUUCAAUAAGUGGUUUUAAUUCAGUUUCUUUUUUUUUUUUUUUACUCUUUAGAGCUAGGUAUUAAGGUAGUUUCAAGGAUAGUUUUUAAGGUAAUUUUUAAGGUUGUUUGUUAAUUCAGUUUGUAAGAUGUUUCUUUUUUUCUGUUUAGCUAUCAGAAGCUUUUGUUUUUUUUUUCUCUUUUCUUUUUUUUUUGCAAUAAAGGAAUCGAAUGAUUUUGCUUUGGUCUGUUUUUUUUUUCUUUUAGAAUUCAGAUCAUUUUCUUGUUCAUCAUUUAAAAUAAAAGUGCCUUUUUCAAUGUUAGGCUUUUAGAGGUUUCAUCCCUCUUUGGAUUGUUCGGUUUUGUGUCAUCAUCCACUUGCUAUGCAGUCUUUGUAGCAAUGCAACACAACAACACCAACACUACACGACCGCGGCUGCACUUUUUUUUAAUUCUUUUUUUUUCUUGCUCGUUAAGCUCACUUCCAGUUGUCUUCUCGGCUCACCUCCGGCUUGCUGCACAGUCCAAAUCAAAAAGAAAGAUUU